rnacentral:rRNA from 1 species
UACAGAGGGGGCAAGCGUUAUUCGGAAUUAUUGGGCGUAAAGGGCGCGUAGGCGGGCCAGCGAGUCGGGGGCUCAACCCUCGGAUGCCGGUGGAUACUGUCGGGCUUGAGUACGGAAGAGGCGAGUGGAAUUCCUGGUGUAGCGGUGAAAUGCGCAGAUAUCAGGAGGAACACCAAUUGCGAAGGCAGCUCGCUGGGACGUUACUGACGCUGAGACGCGAAAGCGUGGGGAGCAAACAGG